rnacentral:rRNA from 1 species
CUUGGUCAUUUAGAGGAAGUAAAAGUCGUAACAAGGUUUCCGUAGGUGAACCUUCGGAAGGAUCAUUACCGAGUUUCUUGCCCUAGCGGGCAGAUCUCCCACCCGGUGUAUUUAUACCGUGUUGCUUUGGGGCCUCCAGGCCUCACCGCCCGGGGCCAAAGGCCGAAAACUCUGUGAAUUACUGUCGUCUGAGUACCAUAUAAUAGUUAAAACUUUCAACAACGGAUCUCUUGGUUCUGGCAUCGAUGAAGAACGCAGCGAAAUGCGAUAAGUAAUGUGAAUUGCAGAAUUCAGUGAAUCAUCGAAUCUUUGAACGCACAUUGCGCCCCUUGGUAUUCCGGGGGGCAUGCCUGUUCGAGCGUCAUUUCAACCCUUACGCCUUGCGUAGUCUUGGGCCCCACCCUCACGGGUCGGCCCUAAAACUAGUGGCGGUGUCCCCUCGGGCCUGAGCGUAGUACUUCUUCUCGCUAUAGGCUCCGGGAGGACGCUGGCCAGCAACCCCAAAUCUUAUCUGGUUGACCUCGGAUCAGGUAGGGAUACCCGCUGAACUUAAGCAUAUCAAUAAGCGGAGGA